rnacentral:rRNA from 1 species
GAUGAACGCUAGCGGCAGGCUUAAUACAUGCAAGUCGAACGGGAUUCGGGGUAGCAAUACUUUGAUGAGAGUGGCGCACGGGUGCGUAACGCGUAUGCAACCUACCUUUAACAGGUGAAUAGCCCCGAGAAAUCGGGAUUAAUACACCGUAACAUUGCGCCGUGGCAUCACAGUGCAAUUAAAGAUUUAUCGGUUAAAGAUGGGCAUGCGUGACAUUAGCUAGUUGGUGAGGUAACGGCUCACCAAGGCAACGAUGUCUAGGGGUCCUGAGAGGGUUAUCCCCCACACUGGUACUGAGACACGGACCAGACUCCUACGGGAGGCAGCAGUAAGGAAUAUUGGUCAAUGGGCGCAAGCCUGAACCAGCCAUGCCGCGUGCAGGAAGACGGCCCUAUGGGUUGUAAACUGCUUUUGUCAGGGAAUAAACCUGUCUACGUGUAGACAGCUGAAGGUACCUGAAGAAUAAGCAUCGGCUAACUCCGUGCCAGCAGCCGCGGUAAUC